rnacentral:rRNA from 1 species
GUCGGUGAUCAUACCGCGGGGGUCACACCCGUUCCCAUCCCGAACACGGCAGUUAAGCCCCGCCGGGCCGAUUGUACUGCACGGGAAACUGUGUGGGAGAGUAGGUCAUCGCCGGCA